GCUGGGCAUGGUGGUGCAUGCCUGUAAUCCCAGCUACUUGGGAGGCUGAGGCAGGAGAAUUGCUUGAACUCAGGAGGCGGAGGUUGCAGUGAGCCAAAACCAUGCCACUGCACUCCAGCCCGGGUGACAGAGCGAGAUUCUGUCUCAA
rnacentral:SRP_RNA from 1 species